AACGAACGCUGGCGGCAUGCCUAACACAUGCAAGUCGAACGAGACCUUCGGGUCUAGUGGCGCACGGGUGCGUAACGCGUGGGAACCUGCCCUUAGGUUCGGAAUAACUCCCCGAAAGGGGUGCUAAUACCGGAUAAUGUCUUCGGACCAAAGAUUUAUCGCCUUUGGAUGGGCCCGCGUUGGGUUAGCUAGUUGGUAGGGUAAAAGCCUACCAAGGCGACGAUCCAUAGCUGGUCUGAGAGGAUGAUCAGCCACACUGGGACUGAGACACGGCCCAGACUCCUACGGGAGGCAGCAGUGGGGAAUAUUGGACGAUGGGCGAAAGCCUGAUCCAGCAAUGCCGCGUGAGUGAUGAAGGCCUGAGGGUUGUAUAGCUCUUUUACCCGGGAUGAUAAUGACAGUACCGGGAGAAUAAGCUCCGGCUAACUCCGUG
rnacentral:rRNA from 1 species